rnacentral:rRNA from 1 species
AGCGCAUACGGUGGAUGCCUUGGCAGUCAGAGGCGAUGAAAGACGUGGUAGCCUGCGAAAAGCUUCGGGGAGUCGGCAAACAGACUUUGAUCCGGAGAUCUCUGAAUGGGGGAACCCACCUAGGAUAACCUAGGUAUCUUGUACUGAAUCCAUAGGUGCAAGAGGCGAACCAGGGGAACUGAAACAUCUAAGUACCCUGAGGAAAAGAAAUCAACCGAGAUUCCCUUAGUAGUGGCGAGCGAACGGGGAUUAGCCCUUAAGCUUCAUUGAUUUUAGCGGAACGCUCUGGAAAGUGCGGCCAUAGUGGGUGAUAGCCCCGUACGCGAAAGGAUCUUUGAAGUGAAAUCGAGUAGGACGGAGCACGAGAAACUUUGUCUGAACAUGGGGGGACCAUCCUCCAAGGCUAAAUACUACUGACUGACCGAUAGUGAACCAGUACCGUGAGGGAAAGGCGAAAAGAACCCCGGAGAGGGGAGUGAAAUAGAACCUGAAACCGUAUGCGUACAAGCAGUGGGAGCCUACUUGUUAGGUGACUGCGUACCUUUUGUAUAAUGGGUCAGCGACUUAUAUUCAGUGGCAAGCUUAACCGUAUAGGGUAGGCGUAGCGAAAGCGAGUCUUAAUAGGGCGUUUAGUCGCUGGGUAUAGACCCGAAACCGGGCGAUCUAUCCAUGAGCAGGUUGAAGGUUAGGUAACACUGACUGGAGGACCGAACCCACUCCCGUUGAAAAGGUAGGGGAUGACUUGUGGAUCGGAGUGAAAGGCUAAUCAAGCUCGGAGAUAGCUGGUUCUCCUCGAAAGCUAUUUAGGUAGCGCCUCAUGUAUCACUCUGGGGGGUAGAGCACUGUUUCGGCUAGGGGGUCAUCCCGACUUACCAAACCGAUGCAAACUCCGAAUACCCAGAAGUGCCGAGCAUGGGAGACACACGGCGGGUGCUAACGUCCGUCGUGAAAAGGGAAACAACCCAGACCGCCAGCUAAGGUCCCAAAGUUGUGGUUAAGUGGUAAACGAUGUGGGAAGGCUUAGACAGCUAGGAGGUUGGCUUAGAAGCAGCCACCCUUUAAAGAAAGCGUAAUAGCUCACUAGUCGAGUCGGCCUGCGCGGAAGAUGUAACGGGGCUCAAACCACACACCGAAGCUGCGGGUGUCACGUAAGUGACGCGGUAGAGGAGCGUUCUGUAAGCCUGUGAAGGUGAGUUGAGAAGCUUGCUGGAGGUAUCAGAAGUGCGAAUGCUGACAUGAGUAACGACAAUGGGUGUGAAAAACACCCACGCCGAAAGACCAAGGGUUCCUGCGCAACGUUAAUCGACGCAGGGUUAGUCGGUUCCUAAGGCGAGGCUGAAAAGCGUAGUCGAUGGGAAACAGGUUAAUAUUCCUGUACUUCUGGUUACUGCGAUGGAGGGACGGAGAAGGCUAGGCCAGCUUGGCGUUGGUUGUCCAAGUUUAAGGUGGUAGGCUGAAAUCUUAGGUAAAUCCGGGGUUUCAAGGCCGAGAGCUGAUGACGAGUCGUCUUUUAGAUGACGAAGUGGUUGAUGCCAUGCUUCCAAGAAAAGCUUCUAAGCUUCAGGUAACCAGGAACCGUACCCCAAACCGACACAGGUGGUCGGGUAGAGAAUACCAAGGCGCUUGAGAGAACUCGGGUGAAGGAACUAGGCAAAAUGGCACCGUAACUUCGGGAGAAGGUGCGCCGGCUAGGGUGAAGGAUUUACUCCGUAAGCUCUGGCUGGUCGAAGAUACCAGGCCGCUGCGACUGUUUAUUAAAAACACAGCACUCUGCAAACACGAAAGUGGACGUAUAGGGUGUGACGCCUGCCCGGUGCCGGAAGGUUAAUUGAUGGGGUUAGCGCAAGCGAAGCUCUUGAUCGAAGCCCCGGUAAACGGCGGCCGUAACUAUAACGGUCCUAAGGUAGCGAAAUUCCUUGUCGGGUAAGUUCCGACCUGCACGAAUGGCGUAACGAUGGCGGCGCUGUCUCCACCCGAGACUCAGUGAAAUUGAAAUCGCUGUGAAGAUGCAGUGUAUCCGCGGCUAGACGGAAAGACCCCGUGAACCUUUACUGUAGCUUUGCACUGGACUUUGAGCCUGCUUGUGUAGGAUAGGUGGGAGGCUUUGAAGCGUGGACGCCAGUUCGCGUGGAGCCAUCCUUGAAAUACCACCCUGGCAUGCUUGAGGUUCUAACUCUGGUCCGUGAUCCGGAUCGAGGACAGUGUAUGGUGGGCAGUUUGACUGGGGCGGUCUCCUCCUAAAGAGUAACGGAGGAGUACGAAGGUGCGCUCAGACCGGUCGGAAAUCGGUCGCAGAGUAUAAAGGCAAAAGCGCGCUUGACUGCGAGACAGACACGUCGAGCAGGUACGAAAGUAGGUCUUAGUGAUCCGGUGGUUCUGUAUGGAAGGGCCAUCGCUCAACGGAUAAAAGGUACUCCGGGGAUAACAGGCUGAUACCGCCCAAGAGUUCAUAUCGACGGCGGUGUUUGGCACCUCGAUGUCGGCUCAUCACAUCCUGGGGCUGA